AACGAACGCUGGCGGCAGGCUUAACACAUGCAAGUCGAGCGCAUCCUUCGGGGUGAGUGGCAGACGGGUGAGUAACGCGUGGGAACGUGCCCUUCUGUUCGGGAUAACCCAGGGAAACUUGGGCUAAUACCGGAUACGCUCGAGAGCAGAACGAUCUAUCGCUGAAGGUUCGGCCCGCGUCUGAGUAGCUAGUUGGUGGGGUAAUGGUCCACCAAGGCGACGAUCAGUAGCUGGUCUGAGAGGAUGAUCAGCCACAUUGGGACUGAGACACGGCCCAAACUCCUACGGGAGGCAGCAGUGGGGAAUAUUGGACAAUGGGCGCAAGCCUGAUCCAGCCAUGCCGCGUGAGUGAUGAAGGCCUUAGGGUUGUAAAGCUCUUUCGUCCGGGACGAUAAUGACGGUACCGGAAGAAGAAGCCCCGGCUAACUUCGUGCCAGCCGCCGCUGUAAUAC
rnacentral:rRNA from 1 species